GUUGGACAAGGUUUUAUUGUUUUGUGCCUCUUCAGUUAUAGUAUUUUUUGAGGUUUGAUGCAGAUAGAAUAUGCUUAUAUUGCAGUUUUAAUUUGGAAGGAAAAGUAGGGAAUAUGGUCUCAUUGCAGUUUUGAUUUGGAAGGAGAACUCAAGAGUCUUAUCAAAGCUUCUUAGUAAUCUUUCUUUUGUUGAAAUGUAGUAAC
rnacentral:misc_RNA from 1 species